CCAGACUCCUACGGGAGGCAGCAGUGGGGAAUAUUGCACAAUGGGGGAAACCCUGAUGCAGCAACGCCGCGUGAGUGAAGAAGUAUUUCGGUAUGUAAAGCUCUAUCAGCAGGGAAGAAGAUGACGGUACCUGAUUAAGAAGCCCCGGCUAACUACGUGCCAGCAGCCGCGGGAAUACGUAGGGGGCAAGCGUUAUCCGGAUUUACUGGGUGUAAAGGGAGCGCAGACGGCAGUGCAAGUCUGGAGUGAAAGCCCGGGGCCCAACCCCGGAACUGCUCUGGAAACUGUGCGGCUAGAGUUCUGGAGGGGCAGGCGGAAUUCCUAGUGUAGCGGUGAAAUGCGUAGAUAUUAGGAGGAACACCAGUGGCGAAGGCGGCCUGCUGGACAGUAACUGACGUUGAGGCUCGAAAGCGUGGGGAGCAAACAGGAUUAGAUACCCCGGUAAC
rnacentral:rRNA from 1 species